rnacentral:rRNA from 1 species
AUUGAACGCUGGCGGCAGGCUUAACACAUGCAAGUCGAACGGUAACAGGAAGAAAGCUUGCUUUCUUUGCUGACGAGUGGCGGACGGGUGAGUAAUGCUUGGGAAUCUGUUUCAUGGAGGGGGAUAACUACGGGAAACUGUAGCUAAUACCGCGUAACAUCGAGAGAUUAAGUGUGUGGGACCGUAAGGCCACAUGCCAUGAAGUGAGCCCAAGUGGGAUUAGAUAGUUGGUGAGGUAAUGGCUCACCAAGUCGGCGACCUCUAGCUGGUCUGAGAGGAUGACCAGCCACACUGGGACUGAGACACGGCCCAGACUCCUACGGGAGGCAGCAGUGGGGAAUAUUGCACAAUGGGCGCAAGCCUGAUGCAGCCAUGCCGCGUGAAUGAAGAAGGCCUUCGGGUUGUAAAGUUCUUUCGGUGGUGAGGAAGGUUGACGUGUUAAUAGCACGUUGAUUUGACGUUAGCCACAGAAGAAGCACCGGCUAACUCCGUGCCAGCAGCCGCGGUAAUACGGAGGGUGCGAGCGUUAAUCGGAAUAACUGGGCGUAAAGGGCACGCAGGCGGUGACUUAAGUGAGGUGUGAAAGCCCUGGGCUUAACCUAGGAAUUGCAUUUCAUACUGGGUCGCUAGAGUAUUUUAGGGAGGGGUAGAAUUCCACGUGUAGCGGUGAAAUGCGUAGAGAUGUGGAGGAAUACCGAAGGCGAAGGCAGCCCCUUGGGAAUAUACUGACGCUCAUGUGCGAAAGCGUGGGGAGCAAACAGG